GAGGACACCAGUCUGGACUGGAAGCUAAACACAGACACAUACACACACACAACUACACUUCACUUCAGACUAAUCAAAAACUAACAUAACAACGAAGAAAGAAGUUCCAGUCAAAAUGAAGUUUUCUCUGAGGAUCGUUGUACUCCUGGUUCUCCUUGGUGGAACAUUAGCAGAUAUCGAGUUUGACCUGUCGGAUUUCACUGACGAUGAUGCAAAACCAACACCUCCAAAACCCAAGGAGCAACCAGAGAAGCCCAAUGGUGGAUUGGACCUUCUAGAUCCAGAUGUGGUACCAACCAAGAAACCCAAUAAACCAAGUUCUGGGGAUUCUGGUGGCUUUGAUUUAAAUCUGGAGGAUGAUCUGGGUUCAGACACCAACCCCAAACCUGACAAACCUGUUGUCAAACCACGAAAGAGUGGAGGAGAUGAUGGUGACCCUGACUUGUUUGAUAUUAUUGGUGGGGACUACAGGCCUGAUGGCGGCCGUUCAGGAGGCCGUUCAGGAGGAGGUGGUGGAUCGUUUGGUGACUCUGACUUGAUUGAUGUUACUGGGGACUACAGGCCUGAUGACGGCCGCUCAGGAGGAGAUCCAGACCUUCCGUGGGCCCAAAUCCUGAAGAUGCUAAAUAUCUCAAACCUUCCACUGCUCCUGCAGACAACUGUCAGGGACAUGUGGUCAAAAAACUGAGCACAAUCAUUGAGAAUCAGAAUCAGCAGCUCCGCCUGCUGCAGCAGCUGAUUGCUCAGUCAGUCAAUCAGAGGACCACAGGCUAAGUCAGAUCUCUGGGAUCCCAAGGCCUGUCAGUUCCAGUCAUCCACACCCUCUGCUCACUCUAACUGACUGGACCUUCCUCUGUGUUUUCAGACGUGGAGAGGACGGGUCGACAGCUUCCGCCUUCCAGAGGAUGCCUCAACAUCUUAAUCUUUUUCUUGAUCAAUAAUCAUUUACUGAUGUUAUAUCUUUAUCGUGAAUUAAUAAUCUCAAUAUGUUAAUCAACACUAUUUAAAAUACACAAGUUCUGAUGCAGGAUGACACUGAUGGCAGGGUAAAGAUGACUGCUAAGGGACACUCUCUUUAAAGGCAUUUUACUACACAUUUGAUGAAUCAAUAAAGAUAAUCAUCAAGCUUUAA